UGUGACGGAGGCGCCCACGUGCUCGGCCCGCCCGUGUUACGGCCGCCUACCGGCUGCAGAGGAGAAGGGAGGAAAGGGUGGAAUCUCAACACAAGUGGUAGGCAACUUUGAAAACAAUAAAUAGAUGAAGAAUGGAGAGACCUCAAAAGGAGAGUCUGGGAACCCUAGCCAAAGGGCCUGGCUCUGUCAUCCAGACUGGAAUGCAGUGUUGGAG
rnacentral:lncRNA from 1 species